rnacentral:rRNA from 1 species
GACGAACGCUGGCGGCGUGCUUAACACAUGCAAGUCGAACGGAAAGGCCCUGCUUUUGUGGGGUGCUCGAGUGGCGAACGGGUGAGUAACACGUGAGUAACCUGCACUUGACUUUGGGAUAACUUCAGGAAACAGGGGCUAAUACCGGAUAGGAGCUCCUGCUGCAUGGUGGGGGUUGGAAAGAUUCGGCGGUUGGGGAUGGACUCGCGGCUUAUCAGCUUGUUGGUGGGGUAGUGGCUUACCAAGGCUUUGACGGAUAGCCGGCCUGAGAGGGCGACCGGCGACAUUGGGACUAAGAUACGGCCCAGACUCCUACGGGCGGCAACAGUGGGGAAUAUUGCACAAUGGGCGGAAGCGUGAUGCAACAACGCCGCGUGCGGGAUAACGGCCUUCGGGUUGUGAACCGCUUUCGCCUGUAACGAAGCGUGAGUGACGGUAAUGGGUAAAGAAGCACCGGCUAACUACGUG